GGGUGCGUACCUUAGUGUCGGUUACGUUGUAGCUGAGGAAAGUCCGCCCACACCUCUUUUGAGGAAGCAGGCACUCGUGGGAACGAGACACAGAAAUGUGUGGCAACGUCCAAGAAACGGUACAGCCUUGUUGCGCAAUGAUGCUAUAAAACUCAUGGCGACAUGAGAAAGAAAAUGCUGAGUAUGUGACAAGGAUAUGGUGAAACGGUCAGCCCUGCCUUGUGCAAGUCAAAUGGUGGAAUGAUUCGCCAAGACGCUUAGUUAAAUGCUAAGGCAGACUAUCGCAGCAGAUGCUGCACAAAGGGUCUGAACAGAAGGCGGCUUAUUCGCGCCC
rnacentral:RNase_P_RNA from 1 species